GUUAACACUGAUACACUCGCAGUGCCAAGACCAGGCGCCAUUCCCCGGGCACUUAUACACCCCUGUCUGCUAAUGCCCGCUGCUGUUGCUGCCUGCUGGAACGGGAAGGAGAGGAUCAAGGUCACUCUUGAGUCAGUGAGGAGCCAGGGAACUUUUGUUAACGCGUGCUUGAUGGUGUAUCCAUAUUGGUUUCCUGCAAAAUUCCUUUGGAGGCUUCCUGGACGUUGCAUUCCGAAAGCAUCUUACGGAACAUGGUGUCGUCUUCACUACGUCAUGACCGCCCUGCCAGGGACUUGUGUGUCCUGCAUUGGCAAAUUCCAAGUCCCUCAUCAUGGUCUAGAAACAAAUCACCCCCGGUUCCUAUGUCUUCAUUUUCCUUUCAUGUGUUCCAGUAAGGCAUUAAAGAACAGAUAACACUGUAA
rnacentral:lncRNA from 1 species